GUCGUGCGAGUCCAAAGCCGUCACAAACGAAUCGUGUAUUCGACCACUCUCCAUGCCAAGAGGAAUACUACAAUCGUCGCAACCCGAGGCUCAACCGCAUAUUAUCCCAGAAUAUAUUGCGCGCUUUCAAAAAUGGCGGACGUACUAAAACGAAAAUAAACACCUGACAUAAUGAGCUCAAGAGGAAACGAUUACAGACGAAUCUCGGGCUUGGCGAGGCCUCUUGCGGAAUGCAAGACAGAGGCCCUUCUUUAUGGAAGGUGUGUGUCACAGAAAGACAACAUUACCAAACAUGCCUGUGAGAAGGAGUUUCAAGCCCUUAAAGUCUGUAUAAGACAAGCAGCAAAGAAAACCAAAUUGUAGAGGCAUGAGAUAAGAGAAUAACUGCACCAGUUGCAAUCAAGUUCAGAGACAGAAUAUGUCACAGGGAACCUACUCACUGAUUGUCUGGGAUAAGGAUUAAUUAAGGACUUUGCAAACUUCAUACAAGAAUGUAACGGAAAUCCCUGCCAACAACAUUUAGUUCUUUAUUAACCUCAGUUUUGUUGCUCUUUGUUUUCUUUUUAAUGCAUUUGGAAAAGCUAAAAUUUACAAUUGAUGAUAAUUAUAAGAGCAAAUUAUAGGAAAUAUUAAGUAAAUGAGCACUACUGACCUCAUGUACAACUUCCUAAUACAGAAGGAUCAGUCAUUAAAAAGAAUACUGGGUAUGCAAUCAUGAAAAAGUCAA